GAUGAACGCUGGCGGCGUGCCUAAUACAUGCAAGUCGAGCGAACAGACGAGGAGCUUGCUCCUCUGACGUUAGCGGCGGACGGGUGAGUAACACGUGGAUAACCUACCUAUAAGACUGGGAUAACUUCGGGAAACCGGAGCUAAUACCGGAUAAUAUAUUGAACCGCAUGGUUCAAUAGUGAAAGACGGUUUUGCUGUCACUUAUAGAUGGAUCCGCGCCGCAUUAGCUAGUUGGUAAGGUAACGGCUUACCAAGGCAACGAUGCGUAGCCGACCUGAGAGGGUGAUCGGCCACACUGGAACUGAGACACGGUCCAGACUCCUACGGGAGGCAGCAGUAGGGAAUCUUCCGCAAUGGGCGAAAGCCUGACGGAGCAUCGCCGCGUGAGUGAUGAAGGUCUUCGGAUCGUAAAACUCUGUUAUUAGGGAAAAACGAAUGUGUAAGUAACUAUGCACGUCUGGACGGUACCAAAUCAGAAAGCCACGGCUAACUACGU
rnacentral:rRNA from 1 species